AGCGAACGCUGGCGGCAGGCUUAACACAUGCCAGUCGAGCGGGCACUUUCGGGUGUCAGCGGCGGACGGGUGAGUAACGCGGGGUGACUUGCCCUCUGGUUCGGAAUCACUCAGGGAAACUUGAGCUAAUACCGGAUACGCCCUUUUGGGGAAAGGCUUGCUGCCGGAGGAUCGGCCCGCGUCUGAUUAGCUAGUUGGUGAGGUAACGGCUCACCAAGGGGACGAUCAGUAGCUGGUAUGAGAGGAUGAGCAGCAACACUGGGACUGAGACACGGCCCAGGAUCCUACGGGAGGCAGCAGUGGGGAAUAUUGGACAAUGGGCGCAAGCCUGAUCCAGCCAUGCCGCGUGAGUGAUGAAGGCCUUAGGGUUGUAAAGCUCUUUUAUCCGGGACGAUAAUGACGGUACCGGAGGAAUAAGCCCCGGCUAACUUCGUG
rnacentral:rRNA from 1 species